rnacentral:rRNA from 1 species
AACGAACGCUGGCGGCAGGCCUAACACAUGCAAGUCGAGCGCCCCGCAAGGGGAGCGGCGCACGGGUGAGUAACGCGUGGGAAUUUGCCCUACAGUGGGGAACAACCUCGGGAAACUGAGGCUAAACCGCAUACGUCCUUCGGGAGAAAGACUUCGGUCGCUGUAGGAGAAGCCCGCGUCCGAUUAGCUAGUUGGCGGGGUAAUGGCCCACCAAGGCGACGAUCGGUAGCUGGUCUGAGAGGACGAUCAGCCACACUGGGACUGAGACACGGCCCAGACUCCUACGGGAGGCAGCAGUGGGGAAUAUUGGACAAUGGGGGAAACCCUGAUCCAGCCAUGCCGCGUGAGUGAUGAAGGCCUUCGGGUUGUAAAGCUCUUUUGGCGGGGACGAUGAUGACGGUACCCGCAGAAUAAGCCCCGGCUAACUUCGUGCCAGCCGCCGCGGUAAUAC